rnacentral:rRNA from 1 species
UACGUAGGGUGCAGGCGUUAAUCGGAAUUACUGGGCGUAAAGCGUGCGCAGGCGGUUUUUUAAGUCAGAUGUGAAAUCCCCGGGCUUAACCUGGGAACUGCGUUUGAAACUGGAAGGCUAGAGUGUGGCAGAGGGGGGUGGAAUUCCACGUGUAGCAGUGAAAUGCGUAGAGAUGUGGAGGAACACCGAUGGCGAAGGCAGCCCCCUGGGUCAAGAUUGACGCUCAUGCACGAAAGCGUGGGGAGCAAACAGG